AUUGAACGCUGGCGGCAUGCCUUACACAUGCAAGUCGAACGGUAACGGGCCUUCGGGUGCCGACGAGUGGCGAACGGGUGAGUAAUACAUCGGAACGUGCCCGAUCGUGGGGGAUAACGAGGCGAAAGCUUUGCUAAUACCGCAUACGAUCUACGGUUGAAAGCCGGGGACCGCAAGGCCUUGCGCGGACGGAGCGGCCGAUGGCAGAUUAGGUAGUUGGUGGGAUAAAAGCUUACCAAGCCGACGAUCUGUAGCUGGUCUGAGAGGAUGAUCAGCCACACUGGGACUGAGACACGGCCCAGACUCCUACGGGAGGCAGCAGUGGGGAAUUUUGGACAAUGGGCGCAAGCCUGAUCCAGCCAUGCCGCGUGCAGGAUGAAGGCCUUCGGGUUGUAAACUGCUUUUGUACGGAACGAAAAGCCUUCUUUUAAUACAGGAGGGUCAUGACGGUACCGUAAGAAUAAGCACCGGCUAACUACGUG
rnacentral:rRNA from 1 species